rnacentral:rRNA from 1 species
UCGCUACUACCGACUGGAUGACUUAGUGAGGUCUUUGGACUGAUACCGAUGCAGCUUAACGGCCGCAUUGGCGUUCGGAAAGAAAACCAAACUGACUCAUUUGGAGGAAGUAA